rnacentral:rRNA from 1 species
GAUUAUGGCUCAGGAUGAACGCUAGCUACAGGCUUAACACAUGCAAGUCGAGGGGCAGCAUGAUCGAAGCUUGCUUUGAUUGAUGGCGACCGGCGCACGGGUGAGUAACGCGUAUCCAACCUUCCCCAUAGUAGAGAAUAGCCCGGCGAAAGUCGGAUUAAUGCUCUAUGUUGUAUCAUGAGGACAUCUGAAUAAUACCAAAGGUUCACCGCUAUGGGAUGGGGAUGCGUCUGAUUAGGUUGUUGGCGGGGUAACGGCCCACCAAGCCCACGAUCAGUAGGGGUUCUGAGAGGAAGGUCCCCCACAUUGGAACUGAGACACGGUCCAAACUCCUACGGGAGGCAGCAGUGAGGAAUAUUGGUCAAUGGACGGAAGUCUGAACCAGCCAAGUAGCGUGCAGGAUGACGGCCCUAUGGGUUGUAAACUGCUUUUAUACAGGGAUAAAGUGAGGGACGUGUCCCUUUUUGUAGGUACUGUAUGAAUAAGGACCGGCUAAUUCCGUGCCAGCAGCCGC